rnacentral:rRNA from 1 species
AUUGAACGCUGGCGGCAGGCCUAACACAUGCAAGUCGAACGAGUGGCGGACGGGUGAGCAAGGUCUGGGAAACUGCCUGAUGGAGGGGGAUAAGUACCGGAAACGGUAGCUAAUACCGCAUACCAUCAGAUGUGACAAGAUGGGAAUAGCUUGUUGGUGGGGCAACGGCACACCAAGGCGACGAUCCCUAGCUGGUCUGAGAGGAUGACCAGCCACACUGGAACUUGUACACGGUCCAGACUCCUACGGUAGGCAGCAGUUGGGACUAUUGAACAAUGGGCGCAAGCCUGGUGCAGCCAUGCCGCGUGUAUGAAGAAGGCCUUCGGUUUGUAAAGUACUUUCAGCGGGGAGGCGUUACCCGCAGAAGAAGCACCGGCUAACUCCGUGCCAGCAGCCGCGGUAAUAC